GAAACGCGAAAGGUAAUGCGAAUUGCAGAAUCAGUGAGUCAUCGAAUCUUUGAACGCACAUUGCGCCUCUCGGUAUUCCGGGAGGCACGCCUGUUCGAGCGCCAUUACACACCCCAAGCUUGGCUUGAUGUUGGACGGUGUCUGUUAGAAGACACGUCUGGAACGCGUGGGCGCCGCCGCCGGACCACGAGCGUAGCAAGACGCAAGUCAUCGCUCUGUGGACUCUGGCGGACGGUCGUCAUGAUGGCGGGUAACACCGAUAUCAAAACACUUACAAGUUUGGCCUCGGAUCAGGCGGGGAUACCCGCUGAACUUAA
rnacentral:misc_RNA from 1 species